rnacentral:rRNA from 2 species
GUUAUGCUUUGUUGUCCAUAAUUACGGUCGUGCGAAUUGAACUCCAACCUGGCUUCCAUAUGUUUUCGCCGCGGAGGGGUGAAUAACACGUGUGCAACCUGCCUGUAAGAGUGGGAUAUCUUCGGGAAACCAAAUCUAAUACCGGAUAGGAUCUUCUCCUUCGUGGGAGAUGAUUGAAAGAUGGUUUCGGCUAUCACUUACAUAUGGCCCCGCGGCGCAUUAUCUAUUUGGAGAGGUAACCGCUCACCAGGGACACUAUGCAUACCCCACCUGAGAGGGUGAUCGGCCACUCUGGGACUGACACACCGCCCACACUCCUACGGGAGGCAGCAAUAGGGAAUCUUCCACAGUGGACAAAAGUCUGACAGAGCAACCCCGCGUGAGUGAUGAAGGUUUUCGGGUCGUAAAUCUCUGUUGUUAGGGAAAAACAUGUACGAGAGUAACUGCUCGCACCUUGACGGUACCUAACCAGAAAGCCACGGCUAACUACGUGCCAACACCCGCGGAAAUACAUAUGUGGCAAGCGUUCUCCAGAAUUAUUGGGCGUAAAGCGCGCACACGCUUUUUCUUAACUCAGAUGUGAAACCCCACGGCUCACCCGGGGAGGGUCUUUGAAAACUGGAAAACUUGUGUGCAAAAGAAAAGAGCAGAUUUCCACGUGUAGCGGAGAAAUGCAUAGAGAUGUGGAAGAACCCCUGUGGCAAACGCCUCUUUGUGGUCUGUAACUGACUCUGAGGCGCAAAAGCGUGGGGAGCAAACGGGAUUAUAUACCCU